GCGGCUGGUGUUGGUGGGGGAUGCGGAGCCGGAGCUGGGUGCUGCUGACAGCUGGAUCGGGGUGGUGCCCGUGGGUGAGGAGCCGGCAGACAGCCCCCGCAGUGCCAAGGAGGAGUCCUUCACUGCUGCUGUGGUCAGCAAGAUGAAGCGAGCCCUGGUGCUGGGGGCCUCAGCCCUGCUCAUCCUGGCACUGAACCAGAAUGCGAUCCGAGAGCUGGAUGUCUCCCAGCUCCUUGCAAAGCCCGUCAUCGUGAUCCAAUCCUCAGACAAUGUCACCAGGCUGCUGGGAGCACUGCUGCGGUGAGCGUUCCCUUGCAGCAGUCUGAUUUGUGCAGUGGGCAGCAGAGCACAGCCAGCACUCGUGCAGUGUGGGGAGGCAGAAGGGGCUCGGAAGGUGUCUGGCACGCUCAGCUUGGCAUGGGAGCAGGGGCAUCUGUGGUGGCUUCACUGAUUGGGAAACAGGCACGGAGCAGG